rnacentral:rRNA from 1 species
AUUGAACGCUGGCGGCAGGCCUAACACAUGCAAGUCGAGCGAUCGGCGGACGGGUGAGUAAUGUCUGGGGCUCUGCCCUAUAGAUGGGGAUAACUACUGUAAACGGUGGCUAAUACCGCAUACUAUCGUAUGAACCCAUAGGGUAUUAGCUAGUAGGUGGGGUAAAGGCUCACCUAGGCGACGAUCUCUAGCUGGUCUGAGAGGAUGAUCAGCCACACUGUGACUGAGACACGGCCCAGACUCCUACGGGAGGCAGCAGUGGGGAAUAUUGCACAAUGGGCGCAAGCCUGAUGCAGCCAUGCCGCGUGUAUGAAGAAGGCCUUAGGGUUGUAAAGUACUUUCAGCGGGGAGGCGUUAACCGAAGAAGAAGGACCGGCUAACUCCGUGCCAGCCGCCGCGGUAAUAG